GAUGAACGCUGGCGGCGUGCCUAAUACAUGCAAGUCGAGCGAACAGACGAGGAGCUUGCUCCUCUGACGUUAGCGGCGGACGGGUGAGUAACACGUGGAUAACCUACCUAUAAGACUGGGAUAACUUCGGGAAACCGGAGCUAAUACCGGAUAAUAUAUUGAACCGCAUGGUUCAAUAGUGAAAGACGGUUUUGCUGUCACUUAUAGAUGGAUCCGCGCCGCAUUAGCUAGUUGGUAAGGUAACGGCUUACCAAGGCAACGAUGCGUAGCCGACCUGAGAGGGUGAUCGGCACCCCUGGAACUGAGACACGGUCCAGACUCCUACGGGAGGCAGCAGUAGGGAAUCUUCCGCAAUGGGCGAAAGCCUGACGGAGCAACGCGGCGGGAGUGAUGAAGGUCUUCGGAUCGUAAAACUCUGUUAUUAGGGAAGAACAAAUGUGUAGUAACUAUGCACGUCUUGACGGUACCUAAUCAGAAAGCCACGGCUAACUACGUG
rnacentral:rRNA from 1 species